rnacentral:rRNA from 1 species
AGGAUUAACGCUGGCGGCGUGCGUGAAACAUGCAAGUCGAGCGCGGUACGUGGCUUCGGUCACGUAUCUAGCGGCGCACGGGUGAGUAACACGUGAGCAACCUACCUUCGAGUUCGGGAUAGCCCUGGGAAACCAGGAUUAAUACCGGAUGUGGUCACAACGGGACAUCCCGAUGUGAAAAAAGGCGUAAGCCGCUCGAUGACGGGCUCGCGGCCUAUUAGCUUGUUGGUGGGGUAAUGGCCUACCAAGGCGACGAUGGGUAGCUGGUCUGAGAGGACGAUCAGCCACACUGGGACUGAGACACGGCCCAGACUCCUACGGGAGGCAGCAGUUAGGAAUUUUCCGCAAUGGGCGAAAGCCUGACGGAGCAACGCCGCGUGUGUGAUGAAGGCCUUCGGGUUGUAAAGCACUGUCGGAGGGGAAGAAUGAAUGACGGUACCUCCAAGAAAGCCCGGCUAACUACGUGCCAGCAGCC